CAUCCUUUUAGAUAUCUUAUCGUUUCCUCUAGGACAUUAUGCUUUCUCUCCCCAGAUCUUUCAGUUGUGUUUUAUCUUCAAAUAAAAAAGAGAAACUGCUUCCAGAGCCCAGAGGGACCACUGUAACCACAGGAUCACCAUGACCAUCUCUUUGGCCCCAGGAAAGGGCCCACUCAGGGAGAAUUGGUUGUGAGAACAAUGUGGAUACUGAUGGAGAAAAUACAAGGUGGGCCAGAGUGGCCAUUGAUUUUCUUCCUUGGGUUUCUGAGAAAGCUUUGCUCCCUAGGCAUCUUUAUCUGGCUUGCUGACCGAAGCAUUAUUCACACUUCUCCUGUGGCCAUGAGGGUGAGACAGCUGCUGCUAGGGACUCCAGGCUCCUACCUCUGAAGGACAGUGGACUAAAUUUCUGACAGGAGCCAUGAGACACCUUUGAGGGAAAGAGAUGUAAGAGCUCUGAUCUCUGAGGACAUAAAGGCUCUCACAGGUGCUUGCUUUAGUUAUCACUGCCUUUUAGAUGGCAUUUUCCAUCUAAAUUCUUCAUCAUUCUUCGCAGACUGGGAAUGGGCUCGGAGGGGAAGUCGUGCCCCCUUGUGAAGUGUACUAAGGGGUCUUCAGAAGGUCCCACCAUGGCCUCCCACACAGCAAAUGCAUUACCUCUGUCUGUGAAGAAUGGAAAUGUUAUGAAUAUCAUAACAUGAGGGUGAGGGUGAUCUCUGAAAUCCAUUGUGAGCAUGGAACUCAAUGGCCAUUAUCAGAGAUAACAAUCGUUGGCAUUAUUCAUAUGUGCUUUACGGGCCAUAAAACACACUUGGCAACACAUCUCAUUGGAUUCUCACACUCUCGCUGAGAGGUAGGGAAGGCACGUAUCAUUCUAAUCUCAUUUUACAGAAGGGAAAAAAGAGGCCCCGGGAGUGAAGCAAUGAGGGGGACACCUUCAUUGCUAUGCUCCUGGAAAAUAGGGGUGCUCUAGGAACCUCACCCUCUUGUAUUCUAACAGCUGACUGAAAAGAGCCAUCUUUCCCCUGUGACUUACACAUGACUCACGGGUGUCUCCUUGUUUCCCUGUGAAGGGGCCAGACACAGACCCUCCAGAUCCCUGCCUCAUAAGGGAUUAGGUAUUUGACCAGUUGAGACAAAAUACCUGCUAACUUGACUUGGUCACACUCUUACAGAUUUCUCUCCUUCCUGGUUUAACCUUUGAACUUUGAUCUCCUGACGUUGAGUCAGCAUCAGGGUGUGGACCAGCUGCUCUCUGAGAGGGGGCUGAUUUCAGGGAAAGAUAUUUCCUGAUUAGCUAUCUGAUCAAGCCAUCCAUUCAUACCACUCCCUACUCCUGGUUCUUCUAGACCAGCUUACUCCCCCCAGGAAAGAAAAUUCCUUUUUGCCCAACCUUUGAGAGGAUCUUAGGUCAGAGUGUUGCAACAGUCUUUUCGAGUGAAGUCCCCCUUCAUCUAAGUCUUUGUAUGUGAUGUGGCACAGGCUAAGGAUCAGAGAAAGCUUCCUGCCACCCAGUCUUGGUCACCCUCAUGGUCUGACUGUUGCACCUGCCAGGGUGGGUGGUUGAAUUGUGGCCCUGACACUGGGCCCUGCCUGUUCCAAACUUGGUUCCCAUGGCUCACUUGGGGGUCUUGCAGCAUGGUGCCCUGAAAAAGUCUCUGGAAUACAGCUCUUUCAUGAGAACCGAGGAGCAAUCUCAAAGGACAUGGGUGCUCCAGGGAAGACUUAUGCUGCUGUGUUUAUACGGGUGUCUUACGUGAACCUGAGAAUAAGUUGUCUGUGUCCCAUUAAGAAGUGAGUUAGGGGCGCCUGGGUGGCGCAGUUGGUUAAGCGUCCGACUUCAGCCAGGUCACGAUCUCGUGGUCUGGGAGUUCGAGCCCCGCGUCGGGCUCUGGGCUGAUGGCUCAGAGCCUGGAGCCUGUUUCCGAUUCUGUGUCUCCCUCUCUCUCUGCCCCUCCCCCGUUCAUGCUCUGUCUCUCUCUGUCCCAAAAAUAAAUAAACGUUGAAAAAAAAUUAAAAAAAAAAA
ensembl:lncRNA